AGUUUGGUAAAUUAGCUAUACUUGCUAUAUUUUUAGCUGUACUUCUUGGAGGGAAAUCGCUUAGCACAGGGGUGCCCAAUACGUCGAUCGCGAACGACCGGUAGAUCGCGAAGGUAGUGCGGGCAGAUAGCGCGACAUUCAAAAACAUUUGGGCGGCCAGUUUGCUGUUGCUUAAUUAAAACUUUAUUACAAUAGGUUACCAUAACAUCUACUUAGAUCCCUUCUCUUCUAACGUAUCUUUGAUCACAUGGGUCACCAGGGAGAAAACGCAAAUGUAUUGUGAGCUAAUGCAAAGGACCAGAAGAUACUUGUUACUGGCCACCAGGAAAAGUCAGUAUCAGCAAGGCAGCGAAGGAAGACAUUUUUCCGAGUACGGACUGGCCACAGUUUAAAGUGCGUGUCUUGGGAAAAGCAGAACAAAACUUUUGAAGUCUGAGGGGAACUCAGACCAGCACACAAAGUCAGAAUCUGGAGGAGGAAUGGUGAAAGGGAAGCGGAGAAGGAGGUGGCUUGAAAAAAAUGCUCUUACAAGCAACAUUACAAGAAAGGACGGUGUCAAAGUAGCUAAUUGUUGCCCAGGACAGGGGAGGGAAUCGAAUUGCGAGGACCCGAGGUGGUGACCAAGAUUGGUAAGUGUCAAGCUUAAUUUUAAAUGAAAACAUAAAGUCAAGUCAAGUUUAUUUAUAAAGCACUUUAAAAACAACAAUAACAGCUGACCAAAGUGCUGGACAAGCAUGGAAAUACGACCUAGUAGACAAAUGGAGAGGACGACACAAAAUAAAAC